GGCAAGGAUUCUUUCACAGCUAUAGUCUGAGUAGGUUUAACAGAAUUGGGUUUGUUCUCUUGAGGCAGGCUUUCAGAAUUUCGUGUUGCAAGAGGCUUGGCUAUAGGAGCUGUAGACUUAUCAUUUGUGUCUCCUGUCCAACGAAGAGUAAACUGAAGUGUAGGUCCCUGAGAAAAUGUUUCAAAUGGAGGCAACCUCUUCCCAUCAAGUAUUGUUUCCCAUGUUGCUCUUUUCUUACUGAUGGGACACUCUUCCAUUUCCUGCAUGGCCACUUCAUAUUCUCCAUCCAGAAGCUGCAAUCGUCUGUUUUUAUCAAAUACAGUCAUUUGUGCUACAAAUGUCUUUUCUCCAUCUUCACGAUUUGAAGAAUUUCUUUUUCUUCUAGCUGGAAGCUCCUCAUUGACAUCAAUGUUUUCAUUAGUUUCGCCAUUAAUCAGUCCAUUAAAAUCUCUUCUUCCUGGGCGAGUUACUCUGAAUAACAAUGAGUAAGACUUCACCAUAUGGCUGUUGCUUGGUUCAAACUCAUUGCUGGAAACUGCAAGUGAUGGGAAGUUGCCUGGUUUGAUUUGACUGAGGUCUGGGUUUAAAGGCACCUGCUUUUUACCUGUAGGAACCUGUCUUAUUGGACAACUGACAUCCUUUCGUUUCUUGUGGCAAACUUUCACAAGCAGUACUUCCAGGGUUACAGAAUUUUGUUCAUUCUCUGAGUUUUGUGAUGGCUUAUCAUUUUUAUGGAAGAAACCAGUAAACGUAAGUUGCAGAUGAGCAGACAGGCUGUGAGAUUCUUGUUCUCCC
rnacentral:lncRNA from 1 species